rnacentral:rRNA from 1 species
GACGAACGCUGGCGGCGUGCCUAAUACAUGCAAGUUGAGCGAUGAAGGUUGGUACUUGUACCAACUGGAUGAGCAGCGAACGGGUGAGUAACGCGUGGGGAAUCUGCCUUUGAGCGGGGGACAACAUUUGGAAACGAAUGCUAAUACCGCAUAAAAACUUUAAACACAAGUUUUAAGUUUGAAAGAUGCAAUUGCAUCACUCAAAGAUGAUCCCGCGUUGUAUUAGCUAGUUGGUGAGGUAAAGGCUCACCAAGGCGAUGAUACAUAGCCGACCUGAGAGGGUGAUCGGCCACAUCGGGACUGGGACACGGCCCAAACUCCUACGGGAAGCAGCAGUAGGGAAUCUUCGGCAAUGGACGAAAGUCUGACCGGGCAACGCCGCGUGAGUGAAGAAGGUUUUCGGAUCGUAAAACUCUGUUGGUAGAGGAGAACGUUGGUGAGAGUGGAGAGCUCAUCAAGUGACGGUAACUACCCAGAAAGGGACGGCUAACUACGUG